CCCUUAGAUGUUCUGGGCGGCCCGCGCACUACAAUGGCGUGUGCAGCGAGUGCCGAAGUAGAGUUUUCCGAGGUAUUCUUGCAAUGCUCGUUUUGAUGGGGAUAGACCCUUGCAACUGUUGGUUUUGAACGAGGAAUUCCUUGUAAGCAUGGUUUAUCAUCCGACGCUGAAUGCGUCCCUGCCCUUUGUACACACCGCCCGUCGCUUCUACCGAUGAGUCGUCCGGUGAAGUUCGUAGACCUCGUGAUCGCGGAUCACUGGGGGAAGCAAAAUGAACCUCGCGGUUUAGAGGAAGGAGAAGUCGUAACA
rnacentral:rRNA from 1 species